CUAUGUAUGUAUAACCUUCCUCCUUGGUUGUGCAUGAAGCGGAAGUUCAUUAUGAUGCCAGUGCUCAUCCAAGGCCCUAAGCAACCCGGCAACGACAUUGAUGUGUACCUAAGGCCAUUAGUUGAAGAACUCUUACAGCUGUGGAAUGGAAUAGGUGUACGUGCGUGGGAUGAGCACGGACAUGAAGAAUUUGACCUAAAGGCGUUGCUGUUCGUGACCAUCAAUGAUUGGCCUGCUCUCAGUAACCUUUCAGGACAGACAAACAAGGGAUACCGCGCAUGCACGCACUGUUUGGAUGAUACCGGCAGUAUAUAUUUGGAUAAUUGUAAGAAGAAUGUGUACCUGGGACAUCAUCGAUUUCUUCCGAGCAGGCAUCCCGUAAGAAAGAAAGGCAAGCAUUUCAAAGGUGAGGCGGAUCACCGGACGAAGCCUCGC
rnacentral:rRNA from 1 species